rnacentral:rRNA from 1 species
UACGGAGGAUCCGAGCGUUAUCCGGAUUUAUUGGGUUUAAAGGGUGCGCAGGCGGGAGAUUAAGUCGGCGGUGAAAUUUUGCAGCUCAACUGUAAAAGUGCCUUCGAUACUGGUUUCCUUGAGUGUGGAUGAAGUAGGCGGAAUUUGUGGUGUAGCGGUGAAAUGCUUAGAUAUCACGAGGAACCCCGAUUGCGCAGGCAGCUUACUAAACCACUACUGACGCUCAGGCACGAAGGCGUGGGGAUCAAACAGGAUUAGAUACCCGUGUAGU